rnacentral:rRNA from 1 species
UACGGAGGGAGCUAGCGUUGUUCGGAAUUACUGGGCGUAAAGCGCACGUAGGCGGCUUUUUAAGUCAGGGGUGAAAUCCCGGGGCUCAACCCCGGAACUGCCCUUGAAACUGGAGAGCUAGAAUCUUGGAGAGGCGAGUGGAAUUCCGAGUGUAGAGGUGAAAUUCGUAGAUAUUCGGAAGAACACCCGUGGCUAAGGCGGCUCUCUAGUACGGUACUGACGCUGAGACGCGAAAGCGUGGGGAGCGAACAGG